CGCUUCGCUCCGGGGAGCCCUGCUGCGCCAGACUUGUUCUUGCGCCGGGCUGAGACAUGGUGGAAGCCAUGGACCCGCUGAACUUGAUCCGGUUAAUACCGGCGUAAGAAGAGCCUGCUCAUGUUCC
rnacentral:ncRNA from 2 species